GACGAACGCUGGCGGCGUGCUUAACACAUGCAAGUCGAACGGAAAGGCCUUUUCGGAGGUACUCGAGUGGCGAACGGGUGAGUAACACGUGGGUGAUCUGCCCUGCACUCUGGGAUAAGCCUGGGAAACUGGGUCUAAUACCGGAUAGGACCGCACUUUAGUGUGUGUGGUGGAAAGUUUUUUCGGUGUAGGAUGAGCCCGCGGCCUAUCAGCUUGUUGGUGGGGUAAUGGCCUACCAAGGCGGCGACGGGUAGCCGGACUGAGAGGUUGGUCGGCCACAUUGGGACUGAGAUACGGCCCAGACGCCGACGGGAGGCAGCAGGGGGGAAUAUUGCACAAUGGGCGCAAGCCUGAUGCAGCGACGCCGCGUGGGGGAUGACGGCCUUCGGGUUGUAAACUCCUUUCGCCAGGGACGAAGCGUUUUGUGACGGUACCUGGAGAAGAAGCACCGGCUAACUACGUG
rnacentral:rRNA from 1 species